AGAAUCAACGCUGGCGGCGUGCCUAACACAUGCAAGUCGAACGAGAAAGUGGAGCAAUCCAUGAGUAAAGUGGCGCACGGGUGAGUAACACGUGACUAACCUACCUUUUAGUGGGGGAUAACCUAGGGAAACCUGGGCUAAUACCGCAUAACACUUACGAGUCAAAGCAGCAAUGCGCUGAAAGAGGGGGUCGCGGCCGAUUAGCUAGUUGGCGGGGUAAUGGCCCACCAAGGCAGUGAUCGGUAU
rnacentral:rRNA from 1 species